rnacentral:rRNA from 1 species
UGCCAGCAGCCGCGGUAAAACGUAGGAGGCAAGCGUUAUCCGGAUUUAUUGGGCGUAAAGCGCGUGCAGGCGGUCUAUCAAGUUGGAUGUGAAAGCUCCUGGCUUAACUAGGAGAGGUCGUUCAAUACUGUUAGACUAGAGAAUAGGAGAGGGAGGUGGAAUUCCGGGUGUAGUGGUGAAAUGCGUAGAUAUUCGGAGGAACACCAGUGGCGAAGGCGGCUUUCUGGACCGAUACUGACGCUGAGACGCGAAAGCGUGGGGAGCAAACAGGAUUAGAUA